ACACGAGCGUGGGCCCAGCCCAGAACGGAGGGCUCCUGAGACCUGGCCCCAGCAGGGCCUCUGCUCCACCUUCAGCUCGGUCUGGUCCCACCACCCGGCAUGGCCUCAAAGAUUUGGGGGCAGGCGGUGACCCCUCGCCAGAGCAGAGGACAGCAGUCUGCAAAGGCCUCCAGACAGAGCCUAGCCACGACCACCAGGGACCAAGAAGGAAAAGAGCGUCUUGCACAGACGUCCCUGUGAGCCUGCACAAGCAGCAGGGCAUCACUUCACGCAUCUUAUUAUCACACGCAGCCCGAAAGGCGGCCCAGCCCCGCCAGGUCCAUGUGGAGCUGCGCCCUCCGGGUUCCUCUGUCUCUCU